UACGUAGGGGGCAAGCGUUGUCCGGAAUUAUUGGGCGUAAAGCGCGCGCAGGCGGUUCUUUAAGUUGGGUGUCAAAGGCAGUGGCUCAACCACUGUACGCACCCAAAACUGGAGAGCUUGAGUGCAGGAGAGGGGAGUGGAAUUCCCGGUGUAGCGGUGGAAUGCGUAGAGAUCGGGAGGAACACCAGUGGCGAAGGCGACUCUCUGGCCUGUAACUGACGCUGAGGCGCGAAAGCGUGGGGAGCAAACAGG
rnacentral:rRNA from 1 species